rnacentral:rRNA from 1 species
CCUACGGGAGGCAGCAGUGGGGAAUAUUGCACAAUGGGGGAAACCCUGAUGCAGCGACGCCGCGUGAGUGAAGAAGUAUUUCGGUAUGUAAAGCUCUAUCAGCAGGGAAGAAAAUGACGGUACCUGAUUAAGAAGCACCGGCUAACUACGUGCCAGCAGCCGCGGUAAUACGUAGGGGGCAAGCGUUAUCCGGAUUUACUGUGUGUAAGGGGAGCGUAGACGGCAGCACAAGUCUGUAGUGAAAUGCAGGGGCUUAACCCCGGAACUGCUGUGGAAACUGUGCAGCUAGAGUGCAGGAGAGGUAAGUGGAAUUCCUAGUGUAGCGGUGAAAUGCGUAGAUAUUAGGAGGAACACCAGUGGCGAAGGCGGCUUACUGGACUGUAACUGACGUUGAGGCUCGAAAGCGUGGGGAGCAAACAGGAUUAGAUACCCCUGUAGUC